GCCAAGCUGCCAGCAGGUGCCUGAUUACAGCAGCCAUUUUAGAUCCCUAGCUGCCUUUAUAACCUGAUCAGUUCCCUGCUGGUAGGAGAGGCAGCAAUAUUGCCUGGUUGUAAGGCUGCUGGUAUUAUCUUGGAGGUAAGGGCAGGAGCUGUAGGGGAUGGCUUGGAGACUUCUGGUCCUGGGCAUGACCUAAAACUGCACCCUGCUGGGAGUGGGUGGCCUGGUGGGGCUCUCAGUGGUGUGGGAGCUCCCAGGAAAUGCCAGGUCAGUGACCACCCUGGUGAAAGGCAAGUAGGGGGUGCCUUAACCCCAUCCCUCACCUUUUGUGUGGGUUGAAAAUAAUAGCAAUUGCCAAGCACAAUGACCUGCUGCUCCAGUGGGGGAGUGAGAGUCCCUGUGAGACCUUGGAGCACCAGUUGUGGUGUGUGCGAGGGGAAUAUCAUCAGAGGAGGAUUAGAGGCCAGGUAAGCUUCUGGAAGUGCCUGAGCCAGUUGGGGAAAGACCCUGCAGGGCCAGGCACACUCCCAGGAGCACCUGAGCUGGGAAUGGGGAACCCCACUCCAGAAAGGCGAAGACCCUGCUGAAGGAAUCGACUAGUCAAUGCUGGGGCCAGGACCUGAGGGUCAAAAGGGCCAGGGGCCCACCACGAGGGAUGCCCACGAUGAGCGCAGAAGCUUGGGGUCCCAACUGGGCCUGAGACGGGGCCAGGGCUUAUGGAAGCCGAAGGUCCCCACAGUUGGGGGCCAUAGCUAAUGGGUGAAGGCGAGGGUUCAGCUGACUGUCUGAGAUGCCAUCUGCGAGGCUUGGGCCACAGUGUAGGGGUGGAACAGAGCUGCGGAUAGCCCCCCCUAAUAUUGGGGUGCAACAAUGGGCAGCCUCCCGCCUUAAUUAACACCUUUUAUUAAUUAUCAACAAGGCAUGGCAGGAGAGAUAGGUAGGUCGUGUGCCCAGAGGCAGGUGGGAAGCUAGCUGCAGCUAGCCAGGGAUCCCCAUUUCACCACACUUGUCUAGGCAUCACACAAUAUUUACAAUAUUGAUAUACCUGCCAUACAGUUUUCACAAAAUACUUGGAAGUCAAUUUGAUGGUUGUGAUCCAUAGUGUACUGUUAUCACCAUACUUGAAGAACCAUUGGGAAAUACCUUUACGCUGAAUUCUGUAAAGACUGAAUUACCCAGAGAUACUUGUCAUGUCAACUUUUAUGACAAAUAUAAAUGCUGUUAUUUAUGAGGGAGUGUAAAAGGGUAGAAAUCUCACUUGACAAUUUGGAAUGAAGACUCCUCCUUUCAACGACAAAGAAUAAAACAAAUUGAUAGACACGCAUCACUGCUAUAGCAGCUCUUGAAGAAAAAAGAUUGAUCAUUUGAAAGAAAUUCAGCAUAAAAAAAUCUCUUCCUGCCCAUUCUGUAUCCCAUCGGAUAACUAUGUAUAACUCUAUAAUCCUAUAAAGACUGAAUUACUUUGUGGGUUUGAGCAACCACUCUUGCUAUAUUGUCUAGUUCAACAUUGGCCUAGUAAUAUUAAACUUUCAUAAUUAGUUUGUGAAAGCCAAUGGGCAUGAGUCAGAUGCUUUGACCCUAAAUUGAAAUCCUGACUCUGCUGAAGUUAAUGAGAGUUUUACAAUGGACUUUAACAAUGCAUGGAUUUUACCCCUAGAAUCUAGCUUUUUCUUGGGCUUGACAUAUGUUGUUGUUCUUACUUGUUAUAGGAAUCCUAAUCGUUCCCUUUACAAACACAAGGCACAGAUUACCAGAAUGUUUCAGAUCAAAUCACUGUAGCCAUAGAACAUUAAUUCCACAUAUGAGACCUAGUAUCAUACUCCUAGGGCAGACAAAGCUCUUAGCAGGCCCAUUGCUAAGACUCAGCAACGCUUCUAGCAGGCCCAUUGCUAGACCCACUUGUACUCAAGUGCAUGAAGACUAAGUAUGUAAUACAAAAUGUACUACAAAAUAAAAAGGUUGUAUUUAGGGGUGGAUAAAUCUAUUACACACACGUAAGCCUAUUGUAAAUUCUCCUUAUCGUAUACAGAACCAGUAGAUUAAACAAAAUACGUGUUUUAAAGAGAUUGGACUUUACAGUAUAUUACGUUAAAUAACAGUCUUAAUGCAAAGUAAAGCCAUAAUAAAACCAGCAGACUGUCUGAGUUUUUAAAUAACACCUAUAAUAAAAAAAUUCAUAAUCCAUGAUAUAUGCUAUAUAAUAUUCAGUGUAAAAUACAGUUGAAUGAGUCAUGUGUUGUCCAAAUGCUAACUGCGACUUAGAUACAAGACAAUCCUAUUUUCUGAUAAAAGAAAAUGUUAAUGUGUUGAUUUAACAAAAUGAUUUCAAAUAGGUAGAAUAGCAAGUAUACAAUACAGUGGACCACAGUCUGCCCCCACUGAAGACAAUGAAGAGAGGGCAGCAUUUGCUCCUGUUCUUAAUAUAUGUUGCAGUCAUACAAAAUUAUAUUCAUUAUCAGGUUCCCUGAGAACAUAAUUCCCUGUUUAUGCAGUAAAUUCACUGUUUCUGAAGUAUCAUCUCCAGAUGAGUUCUCAGUACAAUAAGCAUCUUGUGUUUUAAGUUUUAUGCACUAUGGGCUUUGGCACAAGUACCUCAAAAACAUCAUAAGGGCAUUUGAAAUGAAAGCAUUAAUUAGUUGAUGGGUGUCAAACUUUUGUAAGUGUCUAAAUGUUACAAAGGCAGAUAAGGGUUUUUGGGCAAAUGUGACCUCUUUUAUUAGACCAACCAACUAAAUACAGUAGUUGGAAAAAUUGUUUGUUUUUUGGAAGCUUUCGAGCACAAACAAACAAACAAACCCAAAGGCUUGCAAAGAACAAUUUUUCCAAUUAUUUAGCUGGUCUAAUAAAAGAGAUUGCAUUUACGCAAAAAAACUUGUCUGCCUAUGUCCUUAGACCAACAUGGCUACAACCAACAACCCUAAAUGUUACACAGAUAUGCCACUACAGCUGAGGUUUAUCUUUGAUUAGUUUUGCCCAGGAUGUUCCAGGGUACUGUAUGCAAGCUUUGGGGAAAUGUCUUACUUAAAUUCCUUCAGCUAGAUGCAGAGGUCCCAACCACUCUACCCUUUCCCACCCAGCAAAUCUAUAGUGGUCUUCCCCACCCCUUCACCUUUUGAGAACACCCCUCUCAGCACUUAAUUAUGGAAAGACUGUGUAGCCCAGUUACAUGGUCUCACUGCAUGCUUCAUGCUCAGCUUGGAGCCACUGGGGCUCUAUUCAAGGUAGAUAGUGCAAGUGGGGGGAAGCUCGCUUGUUCCAGACAUGUGUUUUCCCUGCCCAGGGGCUCCAUGCUUCACAAGGGGCUCAAUUAACCAGGUGCCACAUAGCAGAGGAAGCUUCAUUAUGCCUCAGUUUCCCUUCCCUGCUCCCUUUUUUUCUCAGCUUGGCUCUUGCAUGUGCUCUGUGCAAUGCAAUGAGUACAUUGGUUCUCAGCCUUGUGCCCUGGCUACUUUGCCCCAUUCCAGCCUGCAGGCCAGGACAGCUCCCCCAUUCCAGCCAGUACAAACCCUGCUGCCCCUAACCCAAUUCCCCCUUCCAGCCCAAUUGUAGUUCACUGAGUUGCAUACAAAAUUUUAAUCCUUCAAUUUUCUAAAAUAUUUUUUUCACUUCUUUCUCUUUACUCCCCCUCACCCCACUCCAAACAGUUUUUUCAAGAUUCCUCUCCUCCCACCCUCUGCUCUGGCUGGCCCCCCGUUGGCUGUGGAGGGAAGGAAGCCACAGACUACAUGUUGGUUUGUCCACCUCCACAUGCUACCCUUCCCCUCUGUCCCAUCACAGGGCAGAAUUGGAGUCCUGGCUCCUGUACACACCCCUGCUCACUUGCCAUUUACUGGCAAGUCAGUCAUGCAUGUCUGAAACAACACAAACCCUAUUAAAUGCUAUAAUUUUAUAUCACAUUCCACAGAACCUCUGCCAAAGCCCUUAGUUCUUAUAACAGUUUAAAUUCUAUGAUGUUUAAAUUCUAUGAUUCUAUGAUAUUUAAAUUCUAUGUUUAAAUUCUAUGAUGUUCUUACAACAGUUUAAAUUCUUGAUGCUCAGACUAUCUGAUUAAAAUUAACAAUUCCUUUUUUUAUUUGCCAUCAAAAAUAAGUACUGCAGAAGCUACCUUUUUUUUCUGAUUAUCUAGUCACAGGGUCUUAGUCCUGCAAUUCUGAUUCACAUGAAUAAGAGUUAUUUGUGUCACUCAGGAUUUGCAAGCUCACUUUCAAAUUUGGGUAGCAUAUUAUAUUGCAUCCAGAUAUUAUUUUUGUAAUAAGUUGGGGGGUUUCAAUUAUCAGUCAUAAUUUAUUUAUAGCUUUCACUAAAACAAUACAAUAGAAUUAACAAUAACAUUAUAUAUUAUAUAAUAAAAUUACAUGGUUUGUGGUUAUUGGUAAAAGCAUACAAUACCAUUCUACAUUCUACUAAUUUAAACAAAAGUAAAAUUGAACAUUCUAAUAUCAUAAAAGCGUAAGUCUGUUUGUCUGUCUGUAAUGCUUUAUUCAUGCUCUGAUUGGCAGAUAAUCAGAGUGCUCCAAGUAGGAGGAGUGCUGCCAUGAUCCCAAAGCUGAGCCCCAACUUCACUCCCUGCAAGAAGCAGAACAGUGGCACCAUAGGGUGUUAGGUGGUGGCAUUCAAUCCCAGCCCUCAUCAUUCUUGAUGACCAAUUGGCUAGUAAUAUAUGAUGACACAUAAAAAUAUAUAAAAUGAAGCAAUAUUAGAUACUACAUUAAAAAACUAAAAACGGAAGCAUUUUGUGUGGAAUAGUUCUGUGGCUGAUUUGCUAUUUUAUGGCACAACAAAUUAGCUGAAUAUGGCAUGUUGCUAUUUAUGGGACCUAUGUCUUGUUUUCAUUCCCCACUUGCAAACUGUUUCUAUCACCCUCUUGUCACAUCUAAAAUUAGUUUUCAAGCUCUCUGCUAGCAAUCUUUCUUUUGUUCCUAUAAAAUGUCUAGAGCUGAGAGACAUAAAUAUAUUAAACAAUAAAUGAAUAAAAUAAUGCAAAUAUCUGUUCAACAGAGAUCAGAUAUUGUGUAGACUGGCUACAGUGACUGAAAAAAACACUUCUGAAAUCAAGGUGUAGUAUAUGUAUACAACUUUAAAAAGAUGAAAUCAAUUGUAUGCUAAAGGGAAAUAAGUUGUAGAAAUCUGAGUCUCAAUUAGAAAUAAGCCUGUCAGUCUGUAUCUGGAUCUGGCUUUCAUCCUGGCUUGCGAGAUUUUUCACACUUUCAAUGAAAGUCUGUCAACAUGAUCUUUCUGAAAAUGGCAUGCUGAAUAACUUACCAGUUAUAACACUCUUGCUUCCUAUACUGAGGACAUAUCUACACAUGCCAAUUUAAGGUGCUUUAGCCAUUUUUAAGGCAUAUUAAGGGCAUGGGUCUACACAUGCAUGCCCGUAAUGUGCCUUUAAAAUGGCAAAUUUUAGGCUAUUCAUGCCUAAACUUGAUACCUGCAAAAGGAGGUGUCCAAUUUAGAGUUGAAUAGCUAAAGCUGCUUUAGUAGACGCACUAAGGUCCAUUAAACUCUGUAUCCUGACUGACUUGGCACUGCUAGUCUCAAGUCAGUCCGCACACCACAUUAAUUCACCUUAGUGCGAAUAUCCUUAUUCACAUGUAGACAUGCGCCUAAAUCAUCUUAAUGCGCAUUAAGUUUAGGCAUGCAUAAAAGUAAAUGUAGACACGACCUUAGAGGAAGAAAAGCUAAAGCUACUUUACUCAUUUAAAUUGACAAAAAACAAGCCACGUCUUUUGUUAUAGAAAACCACUUCAAGAAGCCCCAGAUAAUUACAAAGUUGUUUUGUUUAGUUUGGGGUUUUUUAAAAAAUAUGUUUUACGCAUUAUUCAC